GUGUCUGUUGGUGAGGUGGGCGGGGUCAGCCUGCGGUGGAGGGGAAGGGCCCUAGAGCCGUGGGGAGAGGCAGCCCGUGGCCUGGAGCAGUGGAGGUGUUAACCACCGAAGGGAGGUAGAAUGUUUUUCCCCACCAGAGGAGGCAGCGACCACGUCUCCUCUAUGGAGGCAUUCAAGAGCCGUCCAGCUGAAGCAGCAUCACUGUCUGAGCUCGGAAGGCACAAUCCACAUAGGUCUGCAUGGUCCACCGAGCUGCAUACCCACGGGGCCAGCGGGAGGUGGGCAGCUGCUGGGCUCUCUUCUGAAGCAGACAGGAUCUCACUCUGUUGCUGAGGCUGGAUCACAGCUCCCUGCAACCUUGAACUCUCCCUCAAGCAAUUCUCCCCACUCUGCCUUCCAAAGCACUAGCAUUAUAGGCCUAAGCCACCACUCCCAUCCACUGUAGUGUAAACUGUCUCCUUCAAUGUUUCCAAUAGUUGCGGAGCAGAUCAGAUAAGGGUUCUUCCUGUCUGUUGCUUCAAGUUUCAUUCUCUCUUUAAACAAUACAAGGUUGGCUUCCAUGGUUCCUUCUUAAAGAAUGUUGAAGGGUCUUGCUCUGUCACCCAGUCUGGAAUGCAGUGGUGCCAUCAUAGCUCACUACAGCCUGAGCUGUACUGAGCUCGAGGGAUCUUCCCGUCUCCGCCUCCUAAGCAGCUGGGACUACAGGUACUUGCCCCCAGGCCCAGAUAAUUUAUUUAAAAACUUUUUUUGUAGAGACAGGGUCUCACUAUGUUGCCCAGGCUGGUCUCAAACUCCUGGCCUCAAACAAUCCUCUACCUCAACCCCCCUAAGUGCUGGCAUUACAGGCAUCAGCUGCCAUGCCUGGCUACAAAUCUUAAUGUUUUCCCCAUGGCUUCUUUUUCUGGCGUUCUUUUCUCAGGUAAUGGAAGUGGGCAGAGAAUGAUCCUUUCCCUAGGCUCCAGUGUGUAAGAAUUAAAGAAAGAGGAAAGAAACACAAUGGCUUGAUGGUCGAGGACAGGUUUAUUUUAAAGAAAACAAACCCAAGAGUGGCUUCUGGCUGAGUUAGAUCAGAGGCAUGCUCUCUUACAGACUAAGAGUUUUUAAGGAUUCAGGGUGGGAGAGUUUAUCAGAGGCUUGGACUGCUUCUGUGUCUCUUUAGGUGUGCUUAUCUGGGAGGGAGUUGUGUGUCUGUUUCCAUACAUCUUCCUGCAGCUGCAGGCAUACCCCCAGGUCUGCUUUUAGCUUCCCUAUCUUAGUGCACCUGAAGGGAAAGAAUGUGCUUAUUAAGGCCCACUGUUAUACUGGGGCCCAAUGUAUGAGGGUGAAGUUUGGCAAUUACCCAAGAGACUUUCCCCCCACCUCCCUCUGUGCCUGAGCUGUCUCAUCUAUGUUUUACUGUCUGCUCUUUCUGUCUGCUUGUUGUUAGAAGAGAAGUGAUUUUCUUGAAAUGCAUGAGGCUGGAAAGGGAGCUGGCACUUAAAGUGGCGGUGUUUGUCCGAGAGGAUGGUGCUCCUGCUCUGUCACAGUGGGCAUGGGGAUUCAGGCCACUGCCACCGAAUUUCAAGAGCCCAAGCACAGAGCCCAGAACUAAAUUGUGAGGGUUUAAAAAAAAAAAAAGCUUUAUUGAAGUAUAAUUGACAUACAAUAAACUUGAAUAUUUAAAGUGUACAAUUUAUGCGUUUGGGCAUUUGUAUAUACCCCUGCAACCAUCAGCACACUGAAGAUAAGGAAUAUACCCAUUACCCCUGAAAAUUUCCCCAUGCCCUUUGGAGCCCCUCCCUUCAACCCCUCAAAUACUUAAUGCGCUUUUUCCCGAAAGGCAAGAAGAAAGCUUCCCUACACAUUUAUCAAGGCUGUUAUAAUCCUGACUCCCAAACAAGGUAAGGAAAUUGUUAGACACUUAGAGAACACUUUCAACUAUUGUAUUCAGAUGUUAAAAUCCUCAGUAAAAUUCCCAUAACAGUUAAUUGAACAAACCAAUUAUGCAAAAACAUACAAUCAACUAUAAUUGCACCCUAUAGACUCCCCUUUUUAUUCUCUAAUGUGUUAUAUUCCACUAAAUCUUUCUUCAUCUUGCCAGUUUUUCUUCUAAUUUCCCUGCAGCUAUAAUUUUGGCUGAUGCUAUAGUUUGAAUAUUUGACCCUCCAAACCUCAUGUUGAAAUUUAGUCCCCAGUGUUGGAGGUGGGGCCUGGUGGAAGGUGUUUGGGUCAUGGGGGUGGAUCACUCAUGAACGGCUUGGUGCUGUUCUCAUGGCAAUGAGUGAGUUCUCACAUAAUCAGUUCCCUCCAGAGCUGGUUAUUAAAGAGAGCCUGGCAUCUCCCCUCUGUCUCUCUUGCUUCCUGUCUCAUCAUGUAAUGUCUGCACACACUGGCUCCCCUUCUGCCAUGAGUGGAAACUCCUGGAAGCCCUCACCAGAAGUAGAUGCUGUUGCCAGCAGAACCACGAGUCAAAUAAACCUAUUUUUAUAAAUUACCCAGCCUCAGGUAUUCCUUUAGAGCAACACAUAUGGACUAAGACAGUGAUGUUCUCAAUUUACCCUGACAUUGCAUGCAGGCCGGCUGUUUCCUCUUAAGUUCCCGGAGUGGGAAUGUGUUCCGGACAAAGGAUGCUAGUGAGUGGCAGUC
rnacentral:lncRNA from 10 species